rnacentral:ncRNA from 3 species
UACGGAGGGUGCAAGCGUUAAUCGGAAUUACUGGGCGUAAAGCGUGCGUAGGCGGUUCGUUAAGUCUGUUGUGAAAGCCCCGGGCUCAACCUGGGAAUGGCAAUGGAUACUGGCGAGCUAGAGUGUGUCAGAGGAUGGUGGAAUUCCCGGUGUAGCGGUGAAAUGCGUAGAGAUCGGGAGGAACAUCAGUGGCGAAGGCGGCCAUCUGGGACAACACUGACGCUGAGGCACGAAAGCGUGGGGAGCAAACAGG